AUUGAACGCUGGCGGCAGGCCUAACACAUGCAAGUCGAACGAGUGGCGGACGGGUGAGUAAUGUCUGGGAAACUGCCUGAUGGAGGGGGAUAACUACUGGAAACGGUAGCUAAUACCGCAUACCAUCGGAUGUGCCCAGAUGGGAUUAGCUAGUGGGUGGGGUAAAGGCUCACCUAGGCGACGAUCCCUAGCUGGUCUGCGAGGAUGACCAGCCACAAUGGAACGGAGACACGGUCAAGACUCCUACGGGAGGGAGCAGUGGGGAAUAUUGCACAAUGGGCGCAAGCCGGAUGCAGCCAUGCCGCGUGGAGGAAGAAGGCCUUCGGGUUGUAAAGCACUUUCAGCGAGGAGGCGUUACUCGCAGAAGAAGCACCGGCUAACUCCGUGCCAGCAGCCGCGGUAAUGC
rnacentral:rRNA from 1 species